ACGCUGACGGAAUGCUUAACACAUGCAAGUCAACUUGAAUUUGGGUUUUUAACUUAGAUUUGGGUGGCGGACGGGUGAGUAACGCGUAAAGAACUUGCCUCACAGCUAGGGACAACAUUUAGAAAUGAAUGCUAAUACCUGAUAUUAUGAUUUUAAGGCAUCUUAGAAUUAUGAAAGCUAUAAGCACUGUGAGAGAGCUUUGCGUCCCAUUAGCUAGUUGGAGAGGUAACAGCUCACCAAGGCGAUGAUGGGUAGCCGGCCUGAGAGGGUGAACGGCCACAAGGGGACUGAGACACGGCCCUUACUCCUACGGGAGGCAGCAGUGGGGAAUAUUGGACAAUGGACCGAGAGUCUGAUCCAGCAAUUCUGUGUGCACGAUGAAGUUUUUCGGAAUGUAAAGUGCUUUCAGUUGGGAAGAAAGAAAUGACGGUACCAACAGAAGAAGUGACGGCUAAAUACGUGCCAGCAGCCGCGGUAAUACGUAUGUCACGAGCGUUAUCCGGAUUUAUUGGGCGUAAAGCGCGUCUAGGUGGUUAUGUAAGUCUGAUGUGAAAAUGCAGGGCUCAACUCUGUAUUGCGUUGGAAACUGUAUAACUAGAGUACUGGAGAGGUAAGCGGAACUACAAGUGUAGAGGUGAAAUUCGUAGAUAUUUGUAGGAAUGCCGAUGGGGAAGCCAGCUUACUGGACAGAUA
rnacentral:rRNA from 1 species